CGCCCGCCGCCGUCCUCGGACACACAAGUUCCUGUCGGGCUGUGGGCUCCUGCUUGGUGCCUUGCUUCAAAUAAGUGAAGGGAACAGAAGCCAGACAGGGUUAGAGGAGUAUCUUGGCUUGCAGUGAAGUCAUUCUCACGGUUCAAGCUUCUGCGCAGCUCCUGACAGCUUGGAUGAAAUUAUGAACACAAGGGGCUUGACUUUGGCGUGUAACUGGUGUACCGUAAGUAGUGGAAGGACAGACAGAGCUGGCUGUCCAACUGCAGCUUGGCAGGCAACAAAUACACUCACCUGCUGGCUGAUACCAGCCAGCAAGAGGUGCCCAGUUUACAACAUAAGCUUAUUUCCUUGUCUCUUUGUAUGUAGGCAGCCUUGGUUUUUGUCCUGUCUCUUCCCUUGUACUCCAAAGGGAGCAGAUGCAAAUGCGUGGGUUUUCUCAGUUUCUCUGUGGAAUUGAUAGUCAGAUCAGCAUUACAAAUGUGUGGUUUGGGCAAGCUCUGCUCAGGAGCGUUUUGUUGUCAAACUAUGAAAUACAUCUUGGGCUCUGUUUGCCCUUGAUCUUGAAA